AGAGUUUGAUCAUGGCUCAGAAUCAACGCUGGCGGCGUGCCUAACACAUGCAAGUCGAGCGAGAAAGGGUAGCAAUACCUGAGUAAAGCGGCGCACGGGUGAGUAACACGUGGGUAACCUGCCUCGGAGUGGGGAAUAACACCGGGAAACCGGUGCUAAUACCGCAUAUACCGAUGGGGUCUUUGGACCUUGUCGGGAAAGGAGCAAUUCGCUCUGAGAGGGGCCCGCGGCUGAUUAGCUAGUUGGUGAGGUAAUGGCUCACCAAGGCAAUGAUCAGUAUCCGGUCUGAGAGGACGGUCGGACACACUGGAACUGAGACACGGUCCAGACUCCUACGGGAGGCAGCAGUGGGGAAUUUUUGGCAAUGGGGGAAACCCUGACCAAGCAACGCCGCGUGGAUGAUGAAGUAUUUCGGUACGUAAAAUCCUUUCGACGGGGACGAAACCGCAAGGUUGACGGUACCCGUAGAAGAAGCCCCGGCUAACUCCGUGCCAGCAGCCGCGGUAAUACGGGGGGGGCAAGCGUUGUUCGGAAUUACUGGGCGUAAAGGGCGCGUAGGCGGCCUGCUAAGUUGGAUGUGAAAACUCUGGGCUCAACCCAGAGCCUGCAUUCAAUACUGACGGGCUAGAGUACUGGAGGGGAAAGCGGAAUUCCUGGUGUAGCGGUGAAAUGCGUAGAUAUCAGGAGGAACACCGGUGGCGAAGGCGGCUUUCUGGACAGUAACUGACGCUGAGGCGCGAAAGCUAGGGGAGCAAACAGGAUUAGAUACCCUAGUAGUCC
rnacentral:rRNA from 1 species